UGAGCUUUACUGUCAGGAUUAUGUGC
rnacentral:piRNA from 2 species